CCUACGGGUGGCAGCAGUGGGGAAUAUUGGACAAUGGGGGGAACCCUGAUCCAGCCAUGCCGCGUGUGUGAAGAAGGCCCUCGGGUUGUAAAGCACUUUCAGUGAGGAAGAACGCCUGGUGGUUAAUACCCAUCAGGAAAGACAUCACUCACAGAAGAAGCACCGGCUAACUCCGUGCCAGCAGCCGCGGUAAUACGGAGGGUGCGAGCGUUAAUCGGAAUUACUGGGCGUAAAGCGCGCGUAGGUGGCUUGAUAAGCCGGUUGUGAAAGCCCCGGGCUCAACCUGGGAACGGCAUCCGGAACUGUCAAGCUAGAGUGCAGGAGAGGAAGGUAGAAUUCCCGGUGUAGAGGUGAAAUGCGUAGAGAUCGGGAGGAAUACCAGUGGCGAAGGCGGCCUUCUGGACUGACACUGACACUGAGGUGCGAAAGCGUGGGUAGCAAACAGGAUUAGAUACCCUUGUAGUC
rnacentral:rRNA from 1 species